rnacentral:lncRNA from 1 species
GUCACUCACGGUUCGAUAUCGGCUUCGAAGCUGUACUCUGGUGUUGUUGUUUUCCUUGGUUGAUACUGGUAUUAGCCGGACACCAGCCUGGCCACCACUGCCACUACCAGUCCACCACACAACCAAUCACAGUUUCCCGCCCACUGAUGUUACCGGGUCGCGGAGCACACCGCCACACUGAGUGGAGGUAAGGGGGAAGGAAGUGAACGGCAGUGGCGGGCAAGGUCAUGGAGCCAAGGUUGGUGGUGUGGAGGAGCGAAAUGGCAGCAGUAGCAGCAACAACAGCAACCGUAGAGGUAAACAAGGAAGAUCUCUACAUGGGCGAGCGAGGGAAGUGAAUGUUGGAGGUGGAGAUGACAAAGACUUCUAUGCAGGAAGAGAGGAAGGAUUAGAGUUGAAAUGAUGAACAGGUAUGAUAAAGAAAAUAAAAGAUCAAUAAAUAGAAAAUAAAUAAAUAUAAAGAACUAGUGUUAGUGGUGGUGGUGGUGGUGGUGGCAGCGCAGCUCGGACCAUCACCUCCCCCUACCUUCACCCGACGAAGCGGGAGCAGCGAGGGCGAGUGAAGCUGUAUCCUCCACGCAACACAAGGUUUAAAACGCCCAUGUAAGGAGAGGGACAAGGAUGAACAUUUGGUCAGUACAUGAGAAAUGAAAACACGCAAUUACUGAAAGACGAACUCAAAGUAGUGGAUAGUCACAUUAAGAGGGGGAGGGAAGGUCGCGAAGCCGAUAGAAAGGAUGAAUGAAGCUCAGUGAACGCAAGAUGUUACGCAGUACAAUACGGAGAGCGGGUACCUGGUGAGAGGACGCUGCCGCCUGCCUCCCGUGUUGUGGCCUGACACUGUCCCCGCUGCCUGCCGCUACCGCCCGCCUGCCAGCCCGCCCUGAGCCCCACCAUUGAUUCCUGCGCGCUCACCACCCUCACUCUCGCUCCACUGCCCUCCUCCUCCUACUCCUCCUCCUCCAGCCAGCCCUACAGUGAUCCGUUCUCCCUUCUCCCUGUUCCCCCUAAAACUUAAGCUUAAUGUCCCCCGCGCCUCUCCCUCCUCCACGGGCUGACCUGUGCUGUGUGUGUGUGUGUUGUGUUGUGUUGUACCUACCUGCCCACCUCGCCCUUACUAAUUUUUAAGGCUAAGUUCUUCAUUUACUCAGAUUUCCCACACUUUUCUCCCUCCCUCCUUGCCUGCUGUCUUUCUCCAGCGCCCUGUUCGCUUGUUCGUUUGGUUUCUUCCCUCCUGUCCGAGCAUGCAAUAAAAAAGAUGGAAUAAAUAAAUAAAAUAAAGUCCUUAUGUCCAUACCCUGCAGCCUCCCCCCCCCCACCACUCUCUCUCUCUCUCUCUCUCUCUCUCUCUCUCUCUCUCUCUCUCUCUCUGCGAUCGUUCUGUCUGUCCAUCUCGCUAGCCAUUCUGUUGUUUUUACGUCCAGUACAUAUAUUAUUCAAAAAGUAGUAUUUUACUUUCAUCACCAGCAAAAAUUUCAAGCAAAAUUAACAUACUGGAAUAAUAAUAAUAAUGAUAAUAAUAAUAAUAAUAAUAAUAAUAAUAAUAAUAAUAAUAAUAAUAAUAACAAUGAACGCAUCAAUAAGUCAUUACACCUCAGUUUGGAUUUUGCGUAUAUCCAGGCGGGCGUCGUGUGUAUCUAUAAUGAGAGAAAAUACAUAGAGUGAAGGUGCAGAGCGGUACUGCGCCGCCGUGCACGGUACAAAAAGCGCUGAGUACGAACAUACAUUGAGUUACGUAACGUGUCACAUAUAAUGGUACCACGCUCGAUUCAACCACGUCCUCCACACCUGACCACAGGAUACCUGGGUUAAUGACAAGCACUAACUCACUGCCCCACUGAUAACAUUGGUAACCGUUCGUCCUGUGAUUGCCGAGUCCCACAGGCCAGCGCAGUACAUUCAGCAUCUCUGCCACUUACUGCUGAGACAAAGAAAGUGCUGAACUAGACUGCCAGUGUCUGUCCUACAGCAGUCUUAUGCAAUGGCCAGGCAAGUGCUGAGUAACCACCACCAUGGGGGCUCCGCAAAUGGCCGCACUAACCCUGCUUACUUUGAGAUCACUUUUUUUUCUUCUUUUUUUCCCCGUUCCUACUACUACUUUGUUGUUGUUGUUGUUGCUGCAACAACAACAACAACAACAACAACAACAACAACAACAACAACAAUAACAACAACAACUACUACUACUAUUACUACUACUACUACUAGUACAACUGCUGCUGCUGUUGCUACUAUUACUACUACUACUACUAUCACAUUACAAGUUUAAAUAGUGAAUUUUGUCUAAUUAUUACAUUUAAACAAAUAGACUUCAAUAAGUCAAUACUUGAGCAGAAAAAUCAUGUUUCACAACCACCAAUAUUCGUACAGAUUUCAAUCCCAAGGCACCAAGACUGACGACCGCUAACAUGCGUGGGAGUUAAUGGUUCUUUCAACAAGUUGAACGUGAAAGUGAAAGAAAACACAUUUCAGGACACCAGCAAUAUUGCUAACACUUCCUAUGAGUUUAAAAUAGCCAGUAGCAAUGGUGCUCAACAGACCAGCUAUCAUAGUCAGUGGUCAACUACACCCUGACGUCACUGACCUUACAAAAGGUUGAUGAGUGUAUAAAGGUGGCCAAGCUGUAACACUCAGUGAGAUUCAUCUUUCUAUGUGCUAUGAGUGCGUCUGCUCAGAGAGAGAGAGAGAGAGAGAGAGAGAGAGAGAGAGAGAGAGAGAGAGAGAGAGA